UACGUAGGGUGCGAGCGUUGUCCGGAAUUAUUGGGCGUAAAGAGCUUGUAGGCGGUUUGUCGCGUCUGCCGUGAAAAUCCGGGGCUCAACCCCGGACUUGCGGUGGGUACGGGCAGACUAGAGUGUGGUAGGGGAGACUGGAAUUCCUGGUGUAGCGGUGAAAUGCGCAGAUAUCAGGAGGAACACCGGUGGCGAAGGCGGGUCUCUGGGCCGAUAUUGACGCUGAGGAGCGAAAGCGUGGGGAGCGAACAGG
rnacentral:rRNA from 1 species